rnacentral:rRNA from 1 species
CAGCCGCCGCGGUAAUACGUAGGGUGCGAGCGUUAAUCGGAUUUACUGGGCGUAAAGCGUGCGCAGGCGGCCCGUUAAGACAGGUGUGAAAUCCCUGGGCUCAACCUAGGAAUUGCGCUUGUGACUGGCGGGCUCGAGUACGGUAGAGGGGGGUGGAAUUCCUGGUGUAGCAGUGAAAUGCGUAGAGAUCAGGAGGAACACCGAUGGCGAAGGCAGCCCCCUGGGCCUGUACUGACGCUCAUGCACGAAAGCGUGGGGAGCAAACAGGAUUAGAUACCCUGGUAGUCCACGCCCUAAACGAUGGGUACUAGCCGUUUGGUGCGCGAUAGCGCUGAGUGGCGAAGCUAACGCGAGAAGUACCCCGCCUGGGGAGUACGGCCGCAAGGUUGAAACUUAAAGGAAUUGGCGGG